UACGGAGGAUGCAGGCGUUAUCCGGAUUCAUUGGGUUUAAAGGGUGUGUAGGCGGGAUAAUAAGUCAGUGGUGAAAUACUGCAGCUUAACUGUAGAACUGCCAUUGAUACUGUUGUUCUUGAGUGUAGUUGAGGUGGGCGGAAUGUGUCAUGUAGCGGUGAAAUGCUUAGAUAUGACACAGAACACCGAUUGCGUAGGCAGCUCACUAAACUAUAACUGACGCUGAGGCACGAAAGCGUGGGGAU
rnacentral:rRNA from 1 species